AUUGUGAACAAUCAAGAAGAACAGAAUUUUCUGUCCCAAAGUGCCAUUGAGGAUUUCUACUGGAUGGGACUGAAUGACCUGGAGACAGAGGGACAGUGGAUUUGGGUGGACAGCACACCUCUCAAUGAGACUGGAGCGGUAUUCUGGAUGAAAAAGUCUGAUGGACAGGAUGAACCAGAUAACUGGAAGGGGAAUGACCCUUCUGGGGAGAACUGUGGACUUGUUUCCAAAUUUGGAUACUGGCGUGACAACUCCUGCAAGAAUCUGCGGACAUUUGUGUGUGAAACGAUAGCCACCGAUUGGAUUGGACUGGAUUGAAUAUUCAACUGCUAUAUAUGAAGGCUUUAAGAAAAUCUUUUCAUUAAAUGUACACAGUUUUGGCCUGUAAGGAACCACUUUCCAGAUCAACAACGGAACUGGGAGUGGGUGAAGGUUUCUGCGUUUUCGUCUUUCUGCGCUUUGUUGAAAUGCAAUAUUUUAUUAGAGGACCCUAUCUUGGUAAA